AACAUUUUAGAGAGGUUCUGAAAUUAACAUAGACCAAACAAUUUCACAUUAUAAUAAUCUGAAAGUGGGCGCCACGGUGGACGACUGGUUAGCACGUCUGCCUCACAGUUGUGAGGACCUGGGUUUCCCCGUGCCUGUGAGGACCUGUUUUCCCCGUGCCUGUGCGUGUUUUCUCUGGGUACUCCGGUUUCCUCCCAAAUCCCCAAAACAUGCAUGCUUGGUUAAUUGAAGACUCUAAAUUGCCCGUAGGUGUGAAUGGUUGUUUGUGUAUAUGUGCCCUCAGAUUGGCUGGCAACCAGUUCAGGGUGUACACCGCCUCUUGCCCAAAGAUAGCUGGGAUAGGCUCCAGCACCACCGCGACCCCAGUGAGGAUAAGCGGUACAGAAAAUGAAUGAAUAAUCUGAAAGCAGUAAAACAAGAUGUGGAGUGACUGGGGGUGAGGCAAAAAAGUGAAAUGGGCUUAAUCAUUGAAACAAAUAUCACAAAGUCCACAAAAAGACCGCACUCCAAAUAAAAAAUGGCCAUCCGGCAUACCCGCACACCCUAUUCUCCGUUCUCAAGACAAAGAUAAGUAAUUUAACUAUCCAGACUCCCCACUGGGUCGUAACCACCAAAAGACAGAAUCUAAAUUAGAAAUGGCUUGAGAAGUUGGAUCUGUGAAGCAACAAACUAAUGGAUAAAAAAAUAAUUCGGCCCUUUUGAAGGUUCUGUUAUCAUAACAGGAGACUACUAUGGUGACCCCCAGACAAAGGGUAUCCUCAGAGUUGCUGAACAGUGAAGUAACAGCACUCCUAAGAGGGGCUUGACAAACUGUUGAUGCAAAGAGAAAAAGGUUUUUAAGCUUGUCUUUUGGUGUUUUCUUAUACUGCAGAUGACGAAUUGUGAUUUUAUUAUUGAUAUCUCUUAAGCUGUGCAACUUGUUCCCGUACAUUCCUUCUCUUUUAUGAAAAAAUAUACAGAAGAGUGGUAAUGAAGAUGGUAAGUUUAAAAUGACUAAGUCAUGUUUAGACUCAAAUGAGCGACACUUCACGACAAAGUUAUUUUCCGUACCCCAAAACUAUGUAAAAUUGUGGGCCAAGUGUAAUAUAUGAGAGUAAGUUUAAAAGGUUAAUCUCCCCAAAUUCAUUUUCAAGAAAAUUAGCACAGAAAGAAACUUUCACACUCAUCAGAAACUCAGGUGGAUAAACCCCUCCCCUUCUUGUCAAUCUCCUGGGAAGAUUAAAAGGAGAAGCUCUGGUUCCUGACCUCUCUGGGUGCUUGGUUUUGACCUAGCCAGGUCCUCCCGGGGCUGGAGGCACGGCGGUGUGACCCGCCUAGCCAGCCAGACCUCGGGACAAUUGGUCCCAGAAAAUUGGCAAAGCUGAACUUUCUUCUUCAUUCCAGUCGCCACUCAGGUCAAACUUCAUCCCCAUCGCGAACAGCAUCCUUGGCCGCUGCUUCAAACCGCUGAAUGCGACCCGGCGGCGGGGGCCCCUGAUGGUAUUUGCUGACUCAGAAAGCGCACCUGCAAAUCACUGAGGACCUUCCCAAGUUAACAAGUAGGAGUCGGGGCUGGAAAUACAUUAGUGGUUAUAAUUAAGGUGAAGUCUUACCUGGGCCAGAGGUUCCACCACAUCAUCUGCAGCUUUACUCUCCAACGCUGCCCGCAGAGGCUGCAGAGUGCCGGUGAUGGCGGCAUCAAGCCUUUCUAGCAU